rnacentral:rRNA from 1 species
UACAGAGGUCCCGAGCGUUUGUUCGGAUUCAUUGGGCGUAAAGGGUGCGUAGGCGGUCUUCUAAGUUUGAUGUGAAAUCCCGGGGCUCAACCCUGGAAUUGCAUUGAAUACUGGAGGACUAGAGUACCGGAGAGGAAACUGGAAUUUACGGUGUAGCGUGAAAUGCGUAGAUAUCGUAAGGAAGACCAGUGGCGAAGGCGGGUCUCUGGACAGUUCCUGACGCUGAGGCACGAAGGUCAGGGGAGCAAACGG